AUUGAACGCUGGCGGCAUGCUUUACACAUGCAAGUCGAACGGCAGCGGGGUAGUGCUUGCACUACUGUCCGGCGAGUGGCGAACGGGUGAGUAAUAUAUCGGAACGUACCGAGUAAUGGGGGAUAACCAAUCGAAAGAUUGGCUAAUACCGCAUACGUCCUACGGGAGAAAGCGGGGGAUCGCAAGACCUCGCGUUAUUCGAGCGGCCGAUAACUGAUUAGCUAGUUGGUGGGGUAAAGGCCUACCAAGGCGACGAUCAGUAGCGGGUCUGAGAGGACGAUCCGCCACACUGGGACUGAGACACGGCCCAGACUCCUACGGGAGGCAGCAGUGGGGAAUUUUGGACAAUGGGGGCAACCCUGAUCCAGCCAUGCCGCGUGUAUGAAGAAGGCCUUCGGGUUGUAAAGUACUUUUGUUAGGGAAGAAAAGGGAAGUGCUAAUACCACUUUUUGCUGACGUUACCUAAAGAAUAAGCACCGGCUAACUACGUGCCAGCAGCCGCGGUAAUACGUAGGGUGCGAGCGUUAAUCGGAAUUACUGGGCGUAAAGCGAGCGCAGACGGUUAUUUAAGCAGGAUGUGAAAUCCCCGGGCUUAACCUGGGAACUGCGUUCUGAACUGGAUAGCUAGAGUUGUGUCUGAGGGGGGUAGUAUUCCACGUUUAUCAAUGAAAUGCGUAGAUAUGUGGAGGAAUUCCGAUGGCGAAGCAGCCCCCUUGGUAUACUCUGUCGUUGUGCGCGAAGGCGGGGUGACUACAUGAGUGAUGCCCUUGUGUCCUGGGGUGAGAUCCACAUGUGUUCGUUCUGAGCGGUGGUGCUACGCUCGGUGAGAAAAAUGUAAAGUGAAUUUGUUGCUUAUGUGGGAUGAAUUAAGAUUGUGGAUUUUGUUUGGUA
rnacentral:rRNA from 1 species